ACGCUCGACACCUACUGGAGGCAGCAGUGGGGAAUAUUGCACAAUGGGGGAAACCCUGAUGCAGCGACGCCGCGUGAAGGAAGAAGUAUCUCGGUAUGUAAACUUCUAUCAGCAGGGAAGAAAGUGACGGUACCUGACUAAGAAGCCCCCGGCUAACUACGUCNCNNNCGCGGAGUAUNGNGGCGNGNGAGAG
rnacentral:rRNA from 1 species